UAAGCCAUCUAGUCUAUGGUAAUUUGUUACAGCAACUCAAAGUGACUAAGAUGCUCAAGAAGAAAUAAAGGAUACACAAGAAACUGAUAACAUUAGUUAACUGCACUGAGAAGAAUUAUGCAGCUGAGGGGCAGAGAGCUUCUGGUACCCAAUGAAGGGCCACAUCAGCUGGGGACACCUUGCUCAGUCCAGAAGCUGCUGUUCAAAGAUCCUGGACUUCCCAUCUGACAAAAGCCAGCAGAAGGUAAAAAUUCUUACAUCAGUGUUGAGUCUCUGCCUUCAGGGCCUGGUGGAGCAAAAGUGGGAGAACGGACUUGCCUUGUCUUAGAUGAGACUUUGGAAAGUGGACUUCAGAGUUAAUGCUGAAAUGUGUCAAGACUUGGGCGACUGUUAAGGAGGGAUGAUUGUAUUUUGCAAUGUGAGAAGGACAUGAGAUUUGGGAGGUGCCAGAGGUGGAAUGAUAUGGU
rnacentral:lncRNA from 1 species